UGGGACAGUGCCUAUGGGGAUCUCGCUACGGAUUCAUUCUGCAAGGGGGCAGGCUGACCUACUGAGAGGAUAGGCCUACAGUAAGGGAGGUACCAAAUGUGCCCUGCUUGCUUUGUGAUCUCUCUUAAUCCUCAGCCACACCACAAGGUAGGGGUGGAGGACUGUGGAGGCCCAGACCCUUGGUGUGUGUUUCACACUGAGCCUUAGAGAGUGACCUGCCAUCGCCUGCUGGCACUGCCACCUUCCCACAUCUGCAACACACUUCUGGGUCACAGAGCUUGACUUGAGGGAGAGUACACCCCACAGUACAGAGAGAUACAACCCACAGUACAGAGAGAUACGCCCACAGUACAGAGAGGUACGCCCACAGUACAGAGAGGUACACCCCACAGUACAGAGAGAUACAACCCACAGUACAGAGAGGUACGCCCACAGUACAGAGAGAUACAACCCACAGUACAGAGAGGUACGCCCCACAGGACAGAGAGAUACAACCCACAGUACAGAGAGAUACAACCCACAGCACAGAGAGAUACAAUCCACAGUACAGAGAGGUACGCCCCACAGUACAGAGAGGUACGCCCACAGUACAGAGAGAUACACCCACAGGACAGAGAGAUACAACCUACAGUACAGAGAGGUACAACCCACAGGACAGAGAGAUACAACCCACAGUACAGAGAGGUACGCCCACAGUACAGAGAGGUACGCCCACAGUACAGAGAGGUACGCCCACAGUACAGAGAGGUACACCCACAGUACAGAGAGGUACAACCCACAGUACAGAGAGGUACGCCCACAGUACAGAGAGAUACACCCACAGGACAGAGAGAUACAACCUACAGUACAGAGAGGUACAACCCACAGGACAGAGAGGUACAACCCACAGUACAGAGAACUACGCCCACAGUACAGAGAGGUACGCCCACAGUACAGAGAGGCACACCCCACAGUACAGAGAAGUACGCCCACAGUACAGAGAGGUACGCCCACAGUACAGAGGAUGCAGGGCCGGAAGAAAGCACAGUGGCUCCAGGAGCUCUCAUUUGGUGAACUGCAAUGCAGAUGCUAUAGCCCUGCAACUGUGCCCUCUGAAACCCUACGAAAGAGGCCUCGAUUUCCACAUUGUUAGUGGAAACAGCAUGGAUUCCUCUCACCCCUUGCAAAGUUGAUUGGUUUUUGUCUGGACAAGCACCGCACCACUGAGCUCCAUUGCUGGUCCUCUCUUCACCUUUUCCUUUGAGGCAGGGUCUCUCCCUAAAUUGCCGAUAUUGGCCUUGAUCUCCCUCUGUGGUUCAGCAGGCUGUGAGCUUGCCUUAGCUACCUGAGUAUCUGGUAUUAUAGACCUACACUUUUUGUAUUUUUGCGGUAUGGUGUGAGGUGGACAUUGACAGAGUCUCACUCUGUGUCCCAGGCUGGUUUGAACUUGUGAUCCUCCAGAGUUCUGGGAUAUCAGGAGCACACCAGCACAUCAGAGUCCCCUGUGGUGUUUAAAUAGCACAGUGGGAGGACUGAGGGUGUAGCUCAUUUGUAGAGCAUUUGCUUAGCACCUCGGAGACCCUGGAUUCCUUCCGCCAGCACUAGAAGUAAUAAAAGAACACACGAGAAAGUCUUAAAGGCUCAUGCUCACUUCAUUACUUUUUACUGCUUGGUUUAGGUAUUGGGGAUGGAACCUAGGGCCUUGUGCUUCUAGGCAAGUUCUCUACUUGCCCUUUCAUUUUUUAUUGCGAGUCAGGAGUUUCCCCAAGUCAGCCACCGCAUCGCUCAGAUGGUCCUCCAGCUCGCAGUCUUUCUGGUUCAGCUCCCCAGUAGCUGGGAUUACUAGCCCGUGCCGCUGUUAUUACUUGAUAAUGCCUAGAUGCUGAGCUUGUCUAGAACCUGGCAGUACAACACACACCCCUAGAAAAGUCCUGGGAACGAAACCUGAGUAGACAAGCAUGGCUGCCAGCCUCCUGUGUUUGUGCCUCUAUGUCCCUCUCUGUAAAAUGGGCAUGACAAGGACACCACUCCCCACUGUUAGGGCCACCCUCUACUCCCCCAACCUGUUCUUCAUUUGUUAGUGGAAGUUGCUGGUGGCAUUUCAUGCAGUAUAAGACCUCUCCUAAAUGCUGCUCCAAGCAGCCCAGGAGGACGCCAUGCAGCUGUACAGAGAGCUGCACCGGUUUCAGCGUUUUCAAGACCAACAACAUCAAAGCUAGUGAUCCUGCUCUGGUGCCAAGAGGGCGGGCCCCACAACAUGCAUUUUGUCACC